CCCUUAGAUGUUCUGGGCAGCACGCGCGCUACAAUGGUCUUCGCAAACGGAUGCGUUCUCGAAGGAGAAUGCCAAUCUUGGAAUCUAUGCCUUGGUCGGGACAGUUGCUUGCAAUUUUUCGACUCGAACCAGGAAUUCCUUGUAAUCGUGAUUCAUCACAUCACGAUGAAUACGUCCCUGCCCUUUGUACACACCGCCCGUCGCUCCUACCGAUCGAAGAGUUAGGUGAAUUGUUUUGAUCGAUAAGAUUUGACUAUGGUCAACUCUCGUUGUGAAAUUCUGUGAAUCUGACUGUUGAGAGGAAGGAAAAGUCGUAACA
rnacentral:rRNA from 1 species